rnacentral:ncRNA from 1 species
AACGUCCUUAUCGGGGUCGAGCGUCAGUUCCGUGAUCGUGAAGUGAGAGCUGCGUUGCUGACACCUGAAUCACAACACUUUCUCACCAACAAAAUAUUUUGUUCGGUGAAAUUUUUGGAAAU